rnacentral:rRNA from 1 species
UACAGAGGGCUCAAGCGUUGUUCGGAUUCAUUGGGCGUAAAGGGCGCGUAGGUGGCUGGGUAAGUCAGGUGUGAAAUCUCGGAGCUCAACUCCGAAACUGCACUUGAUACUGCCUUGCUCGAGUACUGGAGAGGAGAGUGGAAUUUACGGUGUAGCAGUGAAAUGCGUAGAUAUCGUAAGGAAGACCAGUGGCGAAGGCGAAUCUCUGGACAGUUACUGACACUGAGGCACGAAGGCCAGGGGAGCAAACAGG